rnacentral:rRNA from 1 species
CCUACGGGAGGCAGCAGUAGGGAAUCUUUCACAAUGGGCGAAAGCCUGAUGGAGCAACGCCGCGUGCAGGAUGAAGGCCUUCGGGUUGUAAACUGCUUUUAUAGCGAGAAAUAUGAUGGUAACUUAUGAAUAAGGAUCGGCUAACCACGUGCCAGCAGCCGCGGUCAUACGUAGGAUCCGAGCAUUAUCCGGAGUGACUGGGUGUAAAGAGUUGCGUAGGUGGCAUAAUAAGUAGCUAGUGAAAUCUGGUGGCUCAACCAUUCAGACUAUUAGCUAAACUGUUAAGCUCGAGACCGUUAGGGGUAACUGGAAUUUCUAGUGUAGGAGUGAAAUCCGUAGAUAUUAGAAGGAACACCAAUAGCGUAGGCAGGUUGCUGGGACGGUUCUGACACUAAGGCACGAAAGCGUAGGGAGCAAACGGGAUUAGAUACCCCAGUAGUC